AGGGCGCAAGCGUGUCCGGAAUUAUUGGGCGUAAAGAGCUCGUAGGCGGUUUGUCGCGUCUGCUGUGAAACCUGAGGCUCAACCUCGGGCUUGCAGUGGGUACGGGCAGACUAGAGUGCGGUAGGGGUGACUGGAAUUCCUGGUGUAGCGGUGGAAUGCGCAGAUAUCAGGAGGAACACCGAUGGCGAAGGCAGGUCACUGGGCCGCAACUGACGCUGAGGAGCGAAAGCAUGGGGAGCGAACAGGAUUAGAUACCCUGGUAGUCCAUGCCGUAAACGUUGGGCACUAGGUGUGGGGCUCAUUCCACGAGUUCCGUGCCGCAGCAAACGCAUUAAGUGCCCCGCCUGGGGAGUACGGCCGCAAGGCUAAAACUCAAAGAAAUUGACGGGGGCCCGCACAAGCGGCGGAGCAUGCGGAUUAAUUCGAUGCAACGCGAAGAACCUUACCAAGGCUUGACAUACACCGGAAAAGUGCAGAGAUGUGCUCCCCGCAAGGUCGGUGUACAGGUGGUGCAUGGUUGUCGUCAGCUCGUGUCGUGAGAUGUUGGGUUAAGUCCCGCAACGAGCGCAACCCUCGUCCUAUGUUGCCAGCGGGUUAUGCCGGGGACUCAUAGGAGACUGCCGGGGUCAACUCGGAGGAAGGUGGGGAUGACGUCAAAUCAUCAUGCCCCUUAUGUCUUGGGCUUCACGCAUGCUACAAUGGCCGGUACAAAGGGCUGCGAUACCGCGAGGUGGAGCGAAUCCCAAAAAGCCGGUCUCAGUUCGGAUUGGGGUCUGCAACUCGACCCCAUGAAGUCGGAGUCGCUAGUAAUCGCAGAUCAGCAACGCUGCGGUGAAUACGUUCCCGGGCCUUGUACACACCGCCCGUCAAGUCACGAAAGUCGGUAACACCCGAAGCCGGUGGCCCAACCCUUACGGGA
rnacentral:rRNA from 1 species